rnacentral:rRNA from 1 species
CAGCCGCCGCGGUAAAACGAAGGGGGCUAGCGUUGUUCGGAUUUACUGGGCGUAAAGCGCACGUAGGCGGAUCGAUCAGUCAGGGGUGAAAUCCCAGAGCUCAACUCUGGAACUGCCUUUGAUACUGUCGAUCUGGAGUAUGGAAGAGGUGAGUGGAAUUCCGAGUGUAGAGGUGAAAUUCGUAGAUAUUCGGAGGAACACCAGUGGCGAAGGCGGCUCACUGGUCCAUUACUGACGCUGAGGUGCGAAAGCGUGGGGAGCAAACAGGAUUAGAUACCCGCGUAGUCCCUGUCUCUUAUAC